rnacentral:lncRNA from 1 species
GAUGGGGUUUGGCAUUUGCCUCAAAAUGAAUAUGGUGCAUGCAAAUGGAGGGGUCAAUUUCUUUUAAAUCAGUAAUGGACCAAUCGAUACCCUCUUUGUGUUCCUUUAGAAUACCAACCAAUUGUGCUUCCUGAUUAGGGGUCAAGUCUGAUGCAAUGAUUGCCGAGAGGGUGUCAUUGGGUCCUAGAAAUACAUACUUGAGCGUAGCAGGAAGGGGUUUCAAUUCU